AGAGUUUGAUCAUGGCUCAGGACGAACGCUGGCUGCGUGCUUAACACAUGCAAGUCGAGCGGAAAGGCCCUUUCGGGGUACUCGAGCGGCGAACGGGUGAGUAACACGUGAGUAAUCUGCCCCUAGCUCUGGGAUAGCUCCGGGAAACCGGGAUUAAUACCGGAUACGACCCCUUCGGACAUCUGUAGGGGUGGAAAGAUUUAUCGGCUAGGGAUGAGCUCGCGGCCUAUCAGCUUGCUGGUGGGGUAACGGCCCACCAAGGCGACGACGGGUAGCCGGCCUGAGAGGGCGACCGGCCACACUGGGACUGAGACACGGCCCAGACUCCUACGGGAGGCAGCAGUGGGGAAUAUUGCGCAAUGGGCGAAAGCCUGACGCAGCGACGCCGCGUGGGGGAUGAAGGCCUUCGGGUUGUAAACCCCUUUCAGCAGGGACGAAGCGAAAGUGACGGUACCUGCAGAAGAAGCGCCGGCUAACUACGUGCCAGCAGCCGCGGUAACACGUAGGGCGCAAGCGUUGUCCGGAAUUAUUGGGCGUAAAGAGCUCGUAGGCGGUCUGUUGCGUCCGCUGUGAAAACUCGGGGCUUAACCCCGAGCCUGCAGUGGAUACGGGCAGACUAGAGGUAGGUAGGGGAGAAUGGAAUUCCCGGUGUAGCGGUGAAAUGCGCAGAUAUCGGGAGGAACACCGGUGGCGAAGGCGGUUCUCUGGGCCUUACCUGACGCUGAGGAGCGAAAGCGUGGGGAGCGAACAGGAUUAGAUACCCUGGUAGUCCACGCCGUAAACGUUGGGCGCUAGGUGUGGGAUCCUUCCACGGAUUCCGUGCC
rnacentral:rRNA from 1 species